rnacentral:lncRNA from 1 species
CUCCCAUGUGAACUCAAAAUUUCUACCUUUCUUCUUUUGUGAAAUAUAAUAACUAAUUAACUAAUAACCUACCAAGUGGAAGCCCCAGACAAGAGGGUACUAUGGUAAUCUGGAACCUUAGGAGUCUGGGGAGCCGUUGUUGCUAGAGAGGAACACAGUCUUCCUGCGGCAAGUGCCAAAGGCAAAAGGUUGUUCUCCCCUUGUCAAGGAAGGGGACAUGUGAGCUUCUGUCCACCCACAGGACUGGAGGUCUUCAACUGGGGGACAAUAAUGACUCCUCUACUAUGUCGCGGGUGUCCCUCCGAAUGAACAAUCCAGGAGAGGAGACAGGAGCCAGAAUGCAGCUCUCUCGACUGGCCUCAUUUUGCUGCAAACCUGGGGCCACAGGACACACCAACCAGUUGAGAAGGGUUGAUUUCAUAACCCAGCCUAUCAUUAAUGGAAAUAGAAGUCCCAAUGGUAUAUUUUUGGCCUUGCUGAAGCAUCACUUUUUAAUGGGCAUCCAAGCCCAUUAAUGCGAUCCAGCUAAAAAUAGAUCCUCCUCAUCGGACAGGAGCAUGGACCCCGUUACCACUCCCUGAUUGGAGCAGCUGGUGGAUUUCUUACGCAGUCAUUUCAAGCCUCCGGCCCACCCCUGACAAUAUUGCUGAUAAACCAGUGCUUGGUAACAAACAAGUGAUAUCAACGUCAAAAAUAUAAGGAUUUCUGGAGAAAAUAUUAACAUUAAAUUAAAUGCUAACUUCUUGGCUCCCACAGCCCCUUUGUGUCUCUCCAUCCUAUCACCCAAUGUUGUUUCUCUGGGUCUGAAGCUCUCACUAGACUGUGGAUACCUCAAGGGCAGCAACUGCGUCUGGUUCAUUUCUGUCUCUAGCACCUAAUAAAGACUGGU